ACCUGGGAACUGCAUUUGUGACUGCAUGGCUAGAGUCUGUCAGAGGGGGGUGGAAUUCCACGUGUAGCAGUGAAAUGCGUAGAGAUGUGGAAGAACACCGAUGGCGAAGGCAGCCCCCUGGGAUGAGACUGACGCUCAUGUACGAAAGCGUGGGGAGCAAACAGGAUUAGAUACCCUGGUAGUCCACGCCCUAAACGAUGUCAACUAGUUGUUGGGGAUUCAUUUCCUUAGUAACGUAGCUAACGCGUGAAGUUGACCGCCUGGGGAGUACGGUCGCAAGAUUAAAACUCAAAGGAAUUGACGGGGACCCGCACAAGCGGUGGAUGAUGUGGAUUAAUUCGAUGCAACGCGAAAAACCUUACCUACCCUUGACAUGGUCGGAAUCCCGCUGAGAGGUGGGAGUGCUCGAAAGAG
rnacentral:rRNA from 1 species